rnacentral:lncRNA from 1 species
UUCGCACUCAGCCCACUCGCACCCGGGUGAAUAAACAGCCUUUGUUGCUCACACUUAGCCUGUUCAAGUUGUCUCUUCAAUUAGAUGCUCGCAUAACAUUUGGUGCCGAAAGCCCGGGAUAGGGGAACUCCUCCGGCAGACCUCUCCUCUAUCCUCCCGGUACCCACGUUCUCCCAUGCAAGAGACUUCCCUCGCCCUCAGGACCUCAGACCAGCUCCGCGAGCACUCCGGCCUCUGUCUAUGGAUAUGGUGUUCAAUAAUAGGGAAGAGACUGCCCGGCGACAGCGCAUUUCAGAACUACAGAUGCUUGCCUCCGCCAUAAGACAAACCCCAGCUGCACUGCCUACCUGCAAGAACUUCAAGGCAUCUAAACGCAACAUCCAACAGCCCCUCUGGGACUUUGCUUCAAGCGAUGAAAACCUGGCCACUGGGCCAAGGAAUGCCUGCAGCCUGGGAUUCCUCCUAAGCCAUGCCCCGCCUGUGCGGGCCCUCACUGGAAGUCUGACUGCCCGACUCUCAUCGCCACUUCCGGAGCUCCUGGAGCUCAAACCCAAAGCUCCCCACCGACUCCUUCCCAGAUCUCCUCGGCUUGGCGGCUGAAGACUGACGCUGCCCGAACGUCUCGGAGGCCCCUUAGACAAUCGCGGAUGCCGAGCUUCGGGUAACUCUUAGGGUGGAGGCAUAAAAAGACAGGAAUGUAAGGUCCUCUGAGCAGGCGGCGCCAUGGUCAAGCCAUCGUGACCCCUGUGACUCACACGUACACAUCCAGAAGGUCUCCUGGAGCCAGAAAGUCUGGGACGACAGGAAAACCACAAAAGAAGAAAAACGGCUAGUUCCUGUCUUAGCUGAUCAGCCAACCUUGUGACAUUCUAUCAUUGUAACAGGCUGUACCCUAACUGAUCAAUCAACCUCAUGACACUGUGCUCUGUAACCUUAUGAUAAUGUACCUUAUGACAUUCUUCCCCUGCCCUCAAUAAACAGCUCCGAACUAUAACUUUCCACUGCUUACCCCUAAAGUAUAAAACUAGCUCCAACCCCACCACUUCCUUUUCGGACUCAGCCCACCCGCACCCAGUGAAUAAACAACCUUGUUGCUCACACUUAGCCUGUUCAGGGUGUCUCUUCAAUUAGACGCACACAUAACA